CAUGAGGCCAUCAAGAGGCCAGAGGUCGGGAAACAAGUGUCUCAUUAGCAGCACAAUCAGAAUAAACAGGAGAAAACGGAGAUAAGGAAGGAGCCGGGUGGAAUGCCAAAGAACAGAUCUGCCUGAGAAAGCUGGAAGAAUCAGGUGGGAUGUACAUCGAUCCGAAAGGCACUGGUGAGACCACACCACGGAUACUGGAUCCAGUUCUGGACCCCUCGCUACAAGAAGGACAUGGAGGUGCUGGAGUGUGUCCAGAGACAGACAACAAAGCUGGUGAGGGGUCUAGAAAACAAGUCUGAUGAAGAGUGCCUGAGACAGAUGGAGAUGUUUAGCCUGGAGAAGAGGAGACUGAGAGGACAUAUGAUCACUGUACCUGAAGGGGAGUUGUAGUGAGAUGGUGGUCCAUCUCUCCAGUAACGAAUGAUAGAACACGGAGAAAUGGGCUCAAGUUGCACCAGGGACUGACGGGCAAACGGGUCACAGAUGGUCACAACAGGGCACACAGCAUUUUGGUGAGGUGUCCAGAGCAUCACCAAAACACCUCUGAGCUCAGCCAUGCUCACACAGCUGAUCCUAAUGACUGAAGCCACUCUGAUGGUCAACUAACUUCUGAGCCUCUGGAGCAACUCCUGGAUUUAUUCUGGAGACGGAAAUCUUUUCACUGAGUUACAACUGGGUUCAUAACACCCUAGAGAGUGCUGUAAGAGAGGAGUAAAGCUGAGUUGGGAACAUGAGAAGCCAGCUGCUAAAAAGAACUACUUGUCACACUGCUCUUGAGUUGUCACACACGAGCACAGCUGAAGCCAGCAGAACUAUGCUGAUUUCCACCAGCUAUAGAACUCAACAUGAGGAAAAAACAGGGGGAGUAAAGAGUCCUACUGUUGCUUAGUUUAACUUGUUUUUCCCAAUAAUAAUGCUGAUAGCAAAGCAAUAUUGAUGUACAGCCUACCAGGGGCUUUUUGCACUCCCAAGCCAAGUACAGAAAAUUGAGAGAGUAAAGUGAAGGGAGAAAAUCUUGUGUUUGCUUCUGUGAGUGAACUGUUAGCAGAGGGCUAACCUCCCUCCCUUUCUGUCACUGCACAAAGAGCAAAAAAUAUUUGCAAGCCUGGAGGUUCACUUGCUCUGAAGUAUCAGCCCAGACAUUGCCAGCUCAACUUCAGAGUCUACAGAGAACUAUCUCCAAACAGGAUUUAUAAAAUGGGAUUAAAUACAGUUUUAUCAAUAGAUGACUAAACUGAAGGCAUAUUAAACAGAAAAUCUGUACCCAAAGAAGGAAAUGCUGGAGUUUUACACCAUUAAAAGCCCUGUACAAGACUCCAUUAAGAUGUUGGCUAAUUUGUAGGAUACAUUAUCUCUUCCUUUAAGCUCUCUUUCCUGUGUGACAAGUCUCCUGGUCAUGAUAACAUACCCUAAAAUGCCUUUUCCUGAGAAAUUAAGGCAAUAAAACCAUAAGGAGCGUUUGCCACGAUUCAGCUACCGUGUAAUGACUGCUCUUCACUUCCCUCUUGACUUGAAAAUUCAGCUCUUGGGAGAUGGUGGUGCUUCUGCAGCUAUAAAGAAGCCUGUGGCAAUGAGCAGAAUGGACCAAAGCAGGCAGAGCUCCCUGUUCAUCCCUGGGAAAAUGGGUGAAACACCACUGAGACAGAGUUUAGAUGAGAACUAGUCAGACAAUUCUGGUAGGAAGCAUUUGCUUUUGGUGAAAAUGGAAAUACUAGUAAGCAUCAGUUGAAGAUCUAAGUACUUCCUGAUGGUGCCUUAACUGACAAGGUACUUCUGCUGCCUCAGCAGCUCAGUUUGUUCCCUGGACUGCCCCACAACAGUUCCCUGCCACAGUCUCCUGUCCUGGAGGAGAGAGGCAAUACUGGAGAUCAGUAGUUCUUCCCAAUGUGCUGCAAGAAGCACAGAGCAGUGUGGCACGUGAACCAACCCAGCAACAGUUCCCAUAAUACAUCUGCAGCCACCUAUCCAGCUGGGCUCUGCAGGAAAAUCAGAUUAUUCAGAUUUUAAUUUAGGCUCCAAGCAGUCUUUUACCAUCUCCCAAAUUUAUGCUUACCCCAGACUUGGUUUUGUGUUGGGAAACAGCUUCGAUAUAAACUUUAAAGCUCCGCCUGGUCUAGAUUGUGGUGAGGCUCCUUAGGAAAACUAAUCAGCACAUUUUCUGCUUGCUCAAGCGUCUGUGGAUGGUGGAAAACAUAACCAAGCUGGCCCUUUGUUUGUAACUCUAAACCUGACCGAUUUGUUUUGCCAUGUCUGUGGCCCGUGUGAAUCCAUCCCUGACUCGCAGCACAAGUAAUGCAGCCUUUUCUGUUUCAGCUGACCCAGGGAUGGAUUUAUUAUGAUUCACAUUUACUCUAGGGAAAGUUACAAGCUCCCCAAGAAAGAACAGCCUGCCUAGAUUAGGUCUCCUGGGAAAAGAGAAUCAUAUUCAAAAUGGAGAUGGAGGCAAUUCAUUAUGUCUCCAUAAAGUAAAAGCCUUGCCUAUCGUGUCCAGAAUCCAUUUCUUUAAAAUACCCAAAGGAAGCAGAAUCACCUCGGGCCACAAACUGUGUGUUUUGUUAAAAGAAAGAAAGGAAUGACUGGAUAUAGUCCUAUGACUCUCAGUAGAAACAGUGUGAAUAAUGACAUACCCAAGUCCUGUCUUUCAUUAGGCUACAGUAUUACAACGCAGACACUUGCAUUUUUCUUGAGUGACUUAACUUGUUAUUCUUUUCUAAAGAUAAAGCCAGGUCGUGCUAGAUACACAAAUCCAAAUUUUGGCCCCCUUUUCAACCGCAAAAUGCUUACUGGUACGUGGAAGAUCACAAGAUCAUGCAAGCUCAUGCCUCACACCUCAAGCUCUAAAAUGGAGCCUCCUCUGUCUCAUUAUUGUACCGUUUCAUUAACAUCAAACCUCUUACCAAAUGCUGCCUGUUCACAGAAAAUACCACCAUGCAAGCUUAAUGAUUUUAAGAAAAGAGAAUUAACAUAACACCACAUGAGCUUUGCAGCAUUAAUUCUCAAAUCUCUUACCCUUAAUCCCAAGAACAAAACAUCCAACAACUGCAGCAGGAAACAAAGAACAAUCUUUUUUAGAGGAGGGGAUUUACUAUGGAUCUAAUUUGAGAAUAUCUUUUCAGAACAAUAAAAAUGGGAUAUUUCUGAGUACUAGAAAUCCAGAGGGAAAAAUGUACUAAAUGCUGGUUGAAAGUCUGAAGCACGCCAGAAAACACAGAU